rnacentral:rRNA from 1 species
UACAGAGACUGCAAGCGUUAUUCGGAUUCACUGGGCGUAAAGGGUGCGCGGGCGGUUGGGUGUGUCAGAUGUGAAAUCCCGAGGCUUAACCUCGGAACUGCGUCUGAAACUACUCGACUAGAGUACUGGAGAGGGUAACGGAAUUCACGGUGUAGCAGUGAAAUGCGUAGAGAUGUGGAGGAACACCGAUGGCGAAGGCAGCCCCCUGGGUCAACACUGACGCUCAUGCACGAAAGCGUGUGGAGCAAACAGG